ensembl:lncRNA
AAAGACUUAAUGCCAAGCUGAAUCUCCCUCCCCGGGAUGGCCAUCUGUGGAAGUGACCAUUUAUGGAGCACUGCCUUGUGAUUGGUUGCAGCUUCCAACAGGCCAGGGCCACUAAGACCUUGGGAGUGAGUGGCAGUGAGGGUGAUUAACACAGCUGUGGGGAUGGUGAAGGAGACUUACACAUGGAUACACACGGCCUCGCUGCGAUGGAUCAAGGCUGGAUGUGCUCAAAUGUUCUCAAGCGUGUGCAAGCGAGAGAGAGAGAGAGAGAGAGAGAAGGAGCAGGAGCAGGAGCAAGGGAGGCAAGUGAGAUGCUAAAUUAAUAGCAGUCAUCUUUGCAUGCAUUGCUCUGCUAGCUAAGCCUGCUAAUGAACAGACUCCUGCGGAGUCACUUUACACAGAAUCACACACAGGUGCGCUCGGAGCAUUAGGCGAGUGCGGCAGGUAUACUGUGGUGGGGAUCACGGGGGAAAACUUCACACAUUUCCUUUCACACUCAUUUGCAAACGCACAAACGAGGAAGCUCAACACACAUUGCACAAACGCACGAGCAGUCACAACGUGUUACGAUAGGGCGAGGGGAAGUCUCUGGGGUUCCACAGUUUCUGAAGAGGAGCGAGGGGACCCCCCCCCCCCUCCCCCACCUGCUGCUUGCCAUUUCCUCGCUGUCAUCCCAACGGGUCCGAGCGCGUGCGUCUGUCCGUGAGUAGAGGCAAGAUUGCAGAGCUUUUCACAGUGGGGAGAAGCCAGCCAAGUUUGUGUGAAUAUAUGUGUGUGUGUGUCGUCCCAUUUGGGUGAGACUGAAGCCAACUCCAGGAAAUGGAUUGGCACGGAAGGCCUCGCCAGGGAUUGUGGGGUGAAGAUGAAAGAGUUCUUUCACACACAGAGAAACUCUCUCUCUGUGUGUGUCUCUCCUUCUCUCCACCCUCUCUCUGUCGUUGUGCUUGAGGAUGCACUCUUUAGCUCUGCCACAUGGCCCUCACCAACAUACGUUCACAUGCAAACACAAUCUAAUGGGAUAAGCACAAUCAAGACUGCCGUGCACUUGCACAAAAAAUAUGAAAACAUAUUUACAAUGAAUACCAAGUUUCCAUUAUUGAAACAAUGUGUUGCCACAUUAUAUAUAACUGUGAAAUUGACGUUUAUCGAACGCCGUUGAGAAGAAAUUAUUUUUUCACGAUAACACUUGACUACAUAAUUUUUACAAGUAGGAGGGAAAAUAAGUUUUGUUCUUGUGUCAGAUUAGAAGGUUAUUUAUCCACUAGACUCUAGAGAAUAAGGAAGUAAACCAUCAGUAUAAAGAUGAGGAAAUCUAAGAAAACACAUUCAAACCCUGAUGGGUAAGAAAUGCC